rnacentral:lncRNA from 1 species
GUGGAGUCAGUAUCAUGUUCAUAAGAACACACUAACUGAAAACUUGGUACUUCAGAAUUAAAUAUAUAAUAUUGUUUUAAUCUCACUAUUGACAGCAGCUGGGUUCCCUACAUAAUACUGUAGGAUGAAACUUGUCUAGCCUUAUCUAUAAUGGAAUUGACAAAGAUCAAUCCGGGACCAUCCCAUAUCUAGUUAAGAGCUGGAGCUCUUGUGUCUUUCUUUUUCAGUAUUUUCUUCAUCACAGAUUCUGUUCAAUAAGGAUGUUUAACACAGCCAUAUGUACCUAUGCCAUAAUCUCUGGAUCCAUCGUGACAUGAGAGAGAGAACUCUGAAAUUGGUGAAGGGAUCUCAAUGGGUUCCUUCUGUCUCUCUCUGUCUCCUCAAGUUCCCUCAAAUACGAGCAGGGGAUCUUUCAAGAUGCAAAGAUGCUAUAGAUGCUGUUCCCACCAACCUUCUUGAAAUCCCAUUUUGUGAGAAUUUUUUCUUUUUUCGUGUCAGGAGCAACCGGAGUUGCUUCUGGAGUGAGAGAAUUGGCCAUCUGCAAGGACGUUGUCCAGGGGACGCCCGGAUGUUUUUGAUGUUUUUACCAUCCUUGUGGGAGGCUUCUCUCAUGUCCCCGCAUGGAGCUGGAGCUGAUAGAGGGAGCUCAUCUACACUCUCCCCAGGUGGGAUUCGAACCUGGCAGCUUUCAGGAGGACUUUAGAAAUUUCCCAGUCUUCCAGAGAUCUACUCACAGGUCCAGAUUUAUCUUCGAGCCACCUCAGUCUAAUUCAGAUGGUACUGCUUCUCCAAGAUCUAAGAUUUGAGGCAAGGAUCUUUCCCAGUCUUUCUGUCUGAGAUCUUUUUUAACUAUAGAUGCUUAAUACUUUUUGCAUACAAAAACCACAUGUAUUAUACUAUUUAAAAGGUUAAUGAUAUUUGUCCACAGAUGGAAUUGUUGCCACAGUAACUUGUCUAGUCACUGAAUCUCAUACACCUGACUCAAGAAGCAUACAACCCAUUCAACAAAUCACUUGGCAAAAUAUCUCUCUAGCCAGAAAACUAUUUGUUAAACCUUCUCUAACUUUCAUACAACAAUUUUCUGCUACAGCCUAACAUAGGAUUUCUUAACCAGAGAUUUGUAGUCAUAAUUCUGGGGGUGCGGUGGGGGGUCAUUUGUAGGUAUAAUCAUUUUGAUGAAGGGUUCCCCAAGACUUGAAAGUUAUUUAGGGUUUGGAAAGGCUGACCUAACAUCAUUUAAAAAGUUGUUGUUGCUAUAUAGUGGAGGAGCCAAAGUCUUCUCACUGAUGGUAUAAUUACUUUGGAACACAAUCUUCCGUCACUGCAAAAAAAUAAAAAAAAUCUUGAGGUCCACUGCCCUUUCCAAAUUAUAUGUUGUACCACAAAUCCACUGUCUUAAACAACAAGUGUCAAAAACAACUAGAUUUGGGAAUGAUGGGCUUCAUAUUACAACAUAUCUAGAGUAUGUUGGACCAAGUUGCCACAAAAGGGUCAUGAAAGCUGAUCUGUUCAGGAAGACUUAUUUCCUCCUAGAAUGGAAUAUAUAUAGAGAGAAAGAAUGGUAAUGGAAUCCCGGCACCGAGCAAAACAACAGAACUAAACACCCCCCCAACCUAGCAAUUUAACCACACAAUACAACAUCCAUGCCUUAAGGUUGAAACAACAAAAGAUCACGUCACGCACCUCCACACGGACAGAAAAUCACACAAACCCACAACGCA